GACCCCGCGGCGCGCCCGGGGCGGACGCGCCGGUCCGGGGCGCGGGGUGCGGGUGCCUGCCCGUGCCCCCUUCGGUCGUGCCGGAGGCGGGGUCA
rnacentral:tRNA from 2 species